UACGUAGGGUGCAAGCGUUAAUCGGAAUUACUGGGCGUAAAGCGUGCGCAGGCGGUUGUGCAAGACAGAUGUGAAAUCCCCGGGCUCAACCUGGGAACUGCAUUUGUGACUGCAUGGCUAGAGUGCGGCAGAGGGGGAUGGAAUUCCGCGUGUAGCAGUGAAAUGCGUAGAUAUGCGGAGGAACACCGAUGGCGAAGGCAAUCCCCUGGGCCUGCACUGACGCUCAUGCACGGAAAGCGUGGGGGAGCAAACAGG
rnacentral:rRNA from 1 species